rnacentral:lncRNA from 1 species
CAUCCUUCUAGGUGGUAAAACUUAGGCAAAGCAGAAUUCUAGGGGACAGUGUUAAGAUCUGUGUUCUGAAGAGGAAAAUGGCUGGAGGUAGAUUUUUGAUUCUCUCUCAUUCUCUUUUCCUCAGUCUUUUCUGGCCAGUAUAUACAUCAGCUCCUAACAGUGGAUCAUUAAGGAUUAAGGAUUAAUUUAAUCAUUAAGGAUUAAAAAUUUGUUCCUGUAAAUGUUUCAGUUGUCCAAGCAAUCAUCCACCAUCUGUCAAUCUGAGUGAGACUCACUUGUCUUGGAAACUGAAGCCUGGUAUUUAUAUAUUGCAGCGUCAACGAUCAAGUCAGAUGAUCCAAAGGCUGAUAAAGUGCCGAGUCUCAUAUGAAAUUUUUACUCUGAACAAAACUACACAAAAUAUAUCUAGAACAACCAGAGACAGUCAUGGAUUUUUAUUGCCAAAAAAAUAUUACCCACAUUUUCACUCUACUUCCGUGUGCCUCUUCUGAUUUAUUACCUACCCUUCUCAUCUCACCUUCUCAGACAAGUUGACUUGCACCAGUUGACAACUUUGCCCUCUCACCUUCCUUGUUUUUGACCAAUGGAUGGCAUCAGAAGACAGGGCAAAUGGAUGAGGCAUGUAUUUCCUAGUUUCUUCCUGAGGCAGCCUGCAUCUAUGACUUGGGGACGAGAUUAUGGAAAUAGAGGCAACUCUGCAGUUCAACAUUUCUUAAAGAUCCCAUCAGGACAUCCUGAGUGGCUGCUGCAGCUCUGUCUGGAAAUGGUAUGUACCUGCCAUCAGAAUGAAGCCACAUGGUCUUUGCUUCUUCACAUCACUAACUUGCCAUUCAGAUCUGAACUGCUGAAAAACCUGGCAGAAAUAGAACUUUGACAACGCAGAAAGCAUUGGAAGUCCAGUGGAAAAAUAAAACAAUUUUGCUGAAAUUAGCUUCA